CCUUCAUUGUUACAGGAUUAAAAAAGCCCAACUUCUUGCUCAAGCAACACCAGUAGUGUCGAGUUAAAGUUAAUCUUUGUAGUGCUGAAAAUCUGUAAGCGGAGCUGUGCCUGGAAGAGGUGAGGUAUUAUGUUACAUACAUAUUUGCUUUACCGUGGGGGUCCUGAAAUACUUUACGAGUCACUUGUGGAGAGCACCCCGGCUGACACCUGGCUCGGUGGCUGUGGGCCUGCCAACAAGUGGAAGCCAUGUGUCUUGACCUCUGAUGUCAUUGCCCUCACUUUGAUUCAGGCCCUGGCCAAAAGUAAGUGAUCCUUAGGCGAUCCCCCUUUCAGGAAAGUCGGGUGCCACCCUCUGUUUUCUCGCUCUGUUGUCUAGUUUGCCUGAGCCUGUCUGCCAAGAGGGGUAGAGUCAGCAUUCGGGACAGGCCUUGUUGCUCCCUGCCAGGGCUUGUGCAAUUCCCCCCACCCCGUCCCGAGGAUACGGGCACCCUGGGCUGCACGAGGCACACAGAUGACUCUGUGGAGAAUCUGAAUGGGGUAUAGCUCUGAAUCAUGACUGUUGCACUGAAAGGAAAACACAGAUUUAAUUGCUGUUGUAUGAAAAUAAGACAUUUCAGGAGUUUUGCUUGAGGUGAGUCACCAGUCUGACACUGUCAGCGAAAGGUAGCAGCUGGUUUGGGGUCCUGAACAUGGUGACUGUCCUCUCGGACCACGAAUUUAAAUGGUGCCCGCCUGCGUCAUAGGGUUCCUCCCUGUGUUCAAAAUCAAAUGUGACAUUACGUUUUUAGCUGAACUGGUAAGCGUUUACUGUCUUGGCAUUAAACCCCAGAGAAGAAACUCCUUUUCAGAGAUUUGUAUCUGCUACGUGCAUAUGUGACGGAGGGCUCUGAUGUACCUGAGGAAGGAACUACAUAAGCUGACUGAAGACUCUGGCUGGAGGUUUUUUCAGUAGUUUUACACAGAGGGAGCUCUGUUUCAUUUCCAUGUGCGAUACAACUUAUGAUCGCUUCUGCGAAAUCAGUGGCUCUUGUCUACCAUCUGGAGAGACUGUAAGAUCUCUGAAUCUCCUGGAGGAAAAAACAGUAUCUGCCGAAGGGUGUGAGAAAGUAAUGUGGCGCUAUCUGUGAUGAGGAAGGUGAAAAAGUCCCUCCAAGGACUAGUGAGUGAUGAUUCAGUUCAGAUACCUCUGUUUAUUUUAUGAUAAGAUUAAGCUAUUAUAUCAGAUCCAAAUGUUUGACUUGCUGCAGCUGAUAUUAUGCAUUCCACUGGCAUGUUUUUAGAAGCUGAAAGUAUAACAUCAAAUCAGCUUCCGCUCUCUUCAGCGUACAGCUGCAUUUCUGCCAAGCAUCUUGCUCUUUCAAGUCUGAAACAGAGGUGGUGCAACAGUCUAUCCGAAGUUAAAAUAUAAAAGCUUGGUAGACUUUAUUUCUUUCUGGUUUUCAUACUGGUUCUAAAGCAGUUGCUAUUUGUUGGCAGAGUGAUGCUGCGAAGUUGGACCGGAAAAAAUAGAUGAAUGGCUUUGAAAUAGAUGCAUAUCCGGCUGCUCAGUGUGGGUAUUCUAACAAGGGGGUGUAAUUUCAGUCAAUUCAGACAUUCACUCACCUAUAUAUUGCGAACGUACCAUGCCACCUCGUGUAGCUUGAGGUUCUUAUAACCUACGUCAGCUAAAGUAUUUUCUGUUGAUGAUGACUGUGGGUUUUCAGAGAGAAAACUAUUAAUUCCCUUUCUUAGUCUCAGUCCCUAGGCCCAACAGUGCUAAUCUUAACCAGAAAAUUCAUUUUAGAAAGAGAAAGGAGAGAAGUUGGCUGGGUCUGGGUCUGUUUUGUUUUGUUUUAUUAUAUACGCAGUCAAGAGAGUCUUUAGACAUUAAAGGAGACUUUUUCCUUAGACUUUUGUAUCAAAAGUAGACUGACCAAGUAUGAAGCAUGGAUUUUUGGUUUUGAUACUUAGGAGGUGGGGAGAGUUGUGCUUCUUUAUGAAGAAAGAUUUUAACUAGGGAAGAGACUUAAUUGCUGUAUUUCACCUGAGACACAUUAGGAGUAUUAAGUUCAGGUUUGUGUUUCUUACUGGCUCUCCUUUUCAGAUAUAGAGAUUCCUCAUCUUUUUAACUGAUGAGGGGACUAUUAAAGCAGCUUUCUCCUCUUGAACUUUUUAACUAUUUCCCUUUCCAGGUGAGUUUUCUUUCCUUGAUUUUUGUUGUGAAAGAAGAAACUUCUAAAUUCUUCAGAGAAAGGAGCUAGAGAGAGAAGAUGUAAAUAGUUACUGUAGAAAGUAAGUUUAAAAAAAAAAAAGUGCUUUUAGGGGAAGGAAGAUGGAAAAUGUUCACACCAAUAUUUCUUCCUUUUCAUUUAGCUGAUAUGAUGCAACAGACAACGAUUUGGGGAGAUAUGCUUUGGUUACAUUCUCCUGUUUGAACAACGCUGAAAAGUCAUGCGUGACUAAAUAUAUGAGGGUUAAAGAGUAGGUAUCUUAUGUGACAUUCUUGAAAUAUAAAGCUUAAUGUUGAGAUAACUUUGGGAUUUGCCUUUCAGAAGCCAGAGACAGAGGCGCUAAUUAACUGUUCAGCACCUGCCUUUGAGACAUCACAGAAAGAGCAGCAAGGAAGCUGUGGAGAGGUGGUGGUCAGCGUUGCGAUUUUUUUGCAGCCACCAGGCAGCGUCCGCCAGUUUUACAGGAGCUGAGUGGAGCAGGCACCAAUUAAGAAAUACACUCCCAAGAAAUAUGCAGUACCCAGGUUUUAAAGCCAGGCUGGAAGAGGUUCUGACGCUGACAGAUGCGAGCGUGCCAUUAACACUCAAGAUGUGAACGUGGGCUCUUGGUUGCAGCUGCUUGUUUGCUAAGGAAGGAUACCUGUCGUCUGGUUGAUACCUGCAAAGAGCAGUCUCUAUGAUAAAUGUGGCCAUUUCAGUUAGAUGGAUGUGGAAGCGCUGUGGGAUCAGAUGAAAGAAGGAAGAAAUUCUCUUGAGAGGGCAGGAGGCUUU